GACCUGAGAGGGUGAUCGGCCACACUGGGACUGAGACACGGCCCAGACUCCUACGGGAGGCAGCAGUAGGGAAUCUUCCGCAAUGGACGAAAGUCUGACGGAGCAACGCCGCGUGAGUGAUGAAGGCUUUCGGGUCGUAAAACUCUGUUGUUAGGGAAGAACAAGUGCUAGUUGAAUAAGCUGGCACCUUGACGGUACCUAACCAGAAAGCCACGGCUAACUACGUGCCAGCAGCCGCGGUAAUACGUAGGUGGCAAGCGUUAUCCGGAAUUAUUGGGCGUAAAGCGCGCGCAGGUGGUUUCUUAAGUCUGAUGUGAAAGCCCACGGCUCAACCGUGGAGGGUCAUUGGAAACU
rnacentral:rRNA from 15 species